rnacentral:rRNA from 1 species
GAUGAACGCUAGCUACAGGCUUAACACAUGCAAGUCGAGGGACCGGCGCACGGGUGAGUAACACGUAUCCAACCUGCCCUUUACUCGGGGAUAGCCUUUCGAAAGAAAGAUUAAUACCCGAUGUAAAGGAUGCGGAUGCGUUCCAUUAGGUUUUUGGUGAGGUAACGGCUCACCAAGCCUUCUAUGGAUAGGGGUUCUGAGAGGAAGGUCCCCCACAUUGGAGCUGAGACACGGUCCAAACUCCUACGGGAGGCAGCAGUGAGGAAUAUUGGUCAAUGGGCGUUAGCCUGAACCAGCCAAGUAGCGUGAAGAAUGAAGGCUUAUGGGUCGUAAACUUCUUUUAUAUAAGAAUAUGGAAUAUAAGAAUAAGGAUCGGCUAACUCCGUGCCAGCAGCCGCGGUAAUAG